rnacentral:rRNA from 1 species
UACGGGGGGGGCAAGCGUUGUUCGGAAUUACUGGGCGUAAAGGGCUCGUAGGCGGCCAACUAAGUCGGACGUGAAAUCCCCAGGCUCAACCUGGGAACUGCGUCCGAUACUGGAUGGCUUGAAUUCGGGAGAGGGAUGCGGGAUUCCAGGUGUAGCGGUGAAAUGCGUAGAUAUCUGGAGGAACACCGGUGGCGAAGGCGGCAUCCUGGACCGGUAUUGACGCUGAGGCGCGAAAGCCAGGGGAGCAAACGGG